rnacentral:lncRNA from 1 species
UGCUGAAGCCAGGCAAGCAGCUCUUGCUGAGGACAAUGCUUUGGGAUCCUAAGAGGCUGAAGCUCCAGGGUCAGCCUGGAUACCCCCCUGAUGAGGGGUCCCCGUCCUGAUCUUCACAGGCUCCAAGAUGGUAAGCACAGCAACUUCAGAC